UGUCUUUUUUUUCUGCAUGCUGUGUCAAAUGAAGGAGGAUUUGUCUUAAAAACCAAUUCAUUUUUCAAAUCAAGACAGGCCUGGUUUACUGAUUAUAGAAUCCCUACUAUUUUUAAAAAAAGGAUUGUGUUUGACUUGUAAAAAUAAAAUACAAAUAACAUCACCCAUAUGCUCAAUGUAAUGGCACAUGACUCUUUAAGUUUGAAAACUUCUACACUUGGGUUUCUGAUGUGAUUACAAUGGGUUGUAAAGUGAGUGAGAGAAACUGGUUUCCCAAGUUAGGAUGUUUAUUUACCACCUACUGGAAUCCAUGACAGUUUGGAGUAAGACAAUAAUAGGCUAGAAGGAAAUGAGCACUGUUGAUUCAUGAAUCCAUGCACUCUGCACUAAUUACAGUGCCUCAGUUUCCCUAUUUUAUAAAAUGAAGCUGUCUCUUGCCCGUCUCUCUGUAGUGUUUGGAAAGUCCAGGGAGAUAAUAGACUUUGAGUGCUUUGAAAAUACCGAAUAUAUUAUAAAUGCUAAAUAACCAUAAUAAUGGGGAGUCUUUAAUAACAGGGGUCCUGUAAUAAUACUCAUCAAGUAUAAUAACAUCACUAACCAGAGUGCGUCUCUGUCCUCUUAAUCAUUGGUUUGUCUCAUGGGAAAUUGGUGGAGGAUUGGCGCCUAGUACGGGUUGGUUUUAAUGGAUUUAACGCAGAGCCCCUCAGUGAGGCUUGCAGGGAACUCUCCAACAAGCAGGGUAGCUUUCAGGAAGACACGCCCGUGCAAUUGGGAGAGAACAGAACAGAGGCAUCUUCAGGUAACGUGAUUUUAAAAUCCAGUUCCUAGCAGGUUGGGGAAAGAAGGAAAGACCUGUGCAGUGGAGGAGCAUCGUGGGAUCUUCAAGGUGAGCAUCUUAGAAUCUGGGGUCUGGAGGCCACUUUCAUGGGAGGUGAGAGCUGCUGGUCAUUUCCAGUCAUCUCCAACUCCAGCCUGCAGCCAUGGGGUAGAUGGCUAAUGGGACUACGCGGAUCUGAUCAGCGCAAUGUCAAGAUCCAAAUAAACACCAAAUUUGUGCAGAGUGAAGCGGUAUUCUAGGAGGUAAGAAGAGGAAAGUCGCUACGACUGCAGUAAAUACAGAAGACAAAGGCCUGAACAUCUGGCAGCAUCUGGGUCCCAGAUACCCUCAAGAUUUCAUAAAGAGGAGUGCUUGUUGUUGAUAAGAGUCAAGCUGGGUCAGCCUUGCAGAUGACCAGUCACCCUCUGCAAGUUGUCUCUUUG
rnacentral:lncRNA from 1 species